rnacentral:lncRNA from 1 species
UGAUUGUGAACUUCAUAUAUUAAGUUGAUGUACACACAUAUUUAUUUUCCUUAACACAUACUCACAUAUAAACAAAAUAACUUGAAAAAAAUAUUAAAAUAAUAGUAUCAUUAAUAUCAUUGAUAGAACAAGGACAAACUUAUGGUAUGGAACUAGAUAAUAACAAAUGCUUGUCCACACAAUGGAAGCUUACAAAACCUUUGGUUGAACCUUCCUAUAUGAUGACUAAUUAAUAUCUAGGUGUAUAUAAUAUAUGGUUUUCCCAUGUACAUAUUCACCUUUAUUAUAUAAAUAAGAAAACUUAAUAAUUAGCCAUACAAAUUAUUGCCUAAAGGCUAAAGAAUUAAUUAGACACAUAAAUAAUUAAACAAUAUGGUAAU